rnacentral:rRNA from 1 species
CCUACGGGAGGCAGCAGUGAGGAAUAUUGGUCAAUGGACGGAAGCCUGAACCAGCCAUGCCGCGUGCAGGAAGACGGCUCUAUGAGUUGUAAACUGCUUUUGUACAAGGGUAAACCUGAAUACGUGUAUUCAGCUGAAAGUACUGUACGAAUAAGGAUCGGCUAACUCCGUGCCAGCAGCCGCGGUAAUACGGAGGAUCCAAGCGUUAUCCGGAUUUAUUGGGUUUAAAGGGUGCGUAGGCGGAUUGAUAAGUUAGAGGUGAAAUGUCCGAGCUUAACUCGGGAACUGCCUCUAAUACUGUUGAUCUAGAGAGUAGAUGCGGUAGGCGGAAUGUAUGGUGUAGCGGUGAAAUGCUUAGAGAUCAUACAGAACACCGAUUGCGAAGGCAGCUUACCAAUCUAUAUCUGACGUUGAGGCACGAAAGCGUGGGGAGCAAACAGGAUUAGAUACCCUAGUAGUC